GGGGAUCAAACAGGAUUAGAUACCCUGGUAGUCCACGCCUAAACGAUGAUAACUCGAUGUUUGCGAUACACAGUAAGCGUCCAAGCGAAAGCGUUAAGUUAUCCACUGGGGAGUACGGUCGCAAGAUUGAAACUCAAAGGAAUUGACGGGGGCCCGCACAAGCGGAGGAGCAUGUGGUUUAAUUCGAUGAUACGCGAGGAACCUUACCCGGGCUUGAAAGUUAGUGAAUGAUCCAGAGACGGAUCAGUCCUUCGGGACACGAAACUAGGUGCUGCAUGGCUGUCGUCAGCUCGUGCCGUGAGGUGUUGGGUUAAGUCCCGCAACGAGCGCAACCCCUAUGUUUAGUUGCCAGCACAUUAAGGUGGGGACUCUAAACAGACUGCCAGCGUAAGCUGUGAGGAAGGUGGGGACGACGUCAAGUCAUCAUGGCCCUUACGUCCGGGGCUACACACGUGCUACAAUGGAUGGUACAGCGGGCAGCUACAUAGCAAUAUGGUGCUAAUCUCUAAAAGCCAUUCACAGUUCGGAUUGAGGUCUGCAACUCGACCUCAUGAAGUUGGAUUCGCUAGUAAUCGCGUAUCAGCAAUGACGCGGUGAAUACGUUCCCGGGCCUUGUACACACCGCCCGUCAAGCCAUGAAAGUUGGGGGUACCUAAAGCAUGUAACCGCAAGGAGC
rnacentral:rRNA from 1 species